CGAGUUGGCCGGGCGGCCGCGGCUCUCCCUGGUCCGCAGGGACCAGGCGAGUCGAGGAAAGUCCGGACUUCACAGAGCAGGGUGGUUGCUAACGGCAACCCGGGGUGACCCGCGGGAAAGUGCCACAGAAAACAGACCGCCACCUUCGCGGUGGUAAGGGUGAAACGGUGCGGUAAGAGCGCACCAGCAUCCCGGGUGACCGGGAUGGCUAGGCAAACCCCACCCGAAGCAAGGCCAAGAAGACCGCACCCGGUGCGGUCGCGCAGGCGUUCGAGGGUUGCUCGCCCGAGCCUGCGGGUAGGCCGCUUGAGGCACCCGGUGACGGUGUGUCCAGAUGGAUGGUCGCCGCCCCGCUAACCGCGAUCCGCGGUGGCGGGGAACAGAAUCCGGCUUACAGGCCAACUCGUCCG
rnacentral:RNase_P_RNA from 1 species